GAAUUAAAAUCACAUCUAUGGGUUGGUGGGGUUAGAAAUAAAUUGACUCUGUACGUUGUUGGGUGUAUUUGAUGUGUUGGUGCCAUUUUUUUUUACAUUAAAAUUCCUUCUAUACAAGGUUACCUUUCUUCACAACAAAAUGGAUAUGUUGGAAGGGCAUCACUCCUAUAGGUGGCCCCCUAAUUACAAAGUGCCUUCCCCCUGUCCCAUAUAUGAUUCCCUGGAUCAGAAGGGCUGGUCAGCUUAUGCCAUGGCUUGGUGUCCGUCAUCCUCCAACAUUUGUUUCAAAUCGCUACUAGUCAAAAGUCUUCAAUAGAUUUUGAGCCAAAUAUGGUCAGAAACAUCCUUAGGGGAAGGGGAACAGAUUUUGCAUAAAUGGUGACUCUGAUCCCCCUGAGGCAAGAGGAGCGGGGCCCAAUAGAAGUAAAUAGAUGAACACAAACAUGUUGUAAAAAGAAUCUGCUUCUCAUAAUCCAAAUAAGGUAGAAUAAAAUACUCUUCAUAGAUAGAAGGAUGUUAAGGUGCUUUACCAUUAUUGUAUUUUGAAUUGUAAAUUUCAUGACCCUGGGAUCUCGCAUCCACCCCUGUGCACGGUAAACUUUGUGAUAGUUUAUUUAUGGGGAAAUCGUAUUUUUGACUAGCAUUUGUUAAGUUUCUAUUUGAAUUCGUUUUAACUUGGUUAGAAUUUUCAGUAUGGAAUGGCAGUUUGAUGGUAUGGUUGAUGACCUUGGGGGUCUUACGUGACCCAAGGAAUGGCAGUUUGAUGGUAUGGUUGAUGACCUUUGGGGUCUUACGUGACCCAAGGAAUGGCAGUUUGAUGGUAUGGUUGAUGGCCUUGGGGGUCUUACGUGACCCAAGGAAUGGCAGUUUGAUGGUAUGGUUGAUGGCCUUGGGGGUCUUACGUGACCCAAGGAAUGGCAGUUUGAUGGUAUGGUUGAUGACCUUGGGGGUCUUACGUGACCCAAGGAAUGGCAGUUUGAUGGUAUGGUUGAUGACCUUGGGGGUCUUACGUGACCCAAGGAAUGGCAGUUUGAUGGUAUGGUUGAUGACCUUGGGGGUCUUACGUGACCCAAAGGUGCUGAUGGGCGGGGCCUGAACGUGUCACAUGAUUGAAAUAUUUUUAUAACUCGUCCAGUGCUCAUUAGGGCCAAUGGACAAUAAUAUGACAUUAUUGUCCAUACAAUGACGUCGUCUUCAAUUUCUUACUGGUGUAAGCAAUGACAAAUGCUCCAGGGUAUAUAUAAUACACAGUUAACAUAUAUAUAUGCAAGACUAUUGUAUGGCUGAAUACAGUGGAUAAUAGGCUGAUUAUGUGAUAACUGUGUUAAAUCUCUAUAGAUAUCACCUGGCAGAGUUGUGAAUGGAUGUAAGUUUGUAUCAUUUUGAUUGUGGUGGCGUAUCUUCAUGGAAAGAGCCAGGGAAUGAAAAAGACAUCAUUUCACAAUUCAUAAUCAUCAGAAUGACAAAAUUAUGUUUUGAUAAAGGUUUUCAAAUAUACCUUAGUUAUGUGAUAAACAGAAUCUUAGUAUGGUUUUUAUUUCACAUGAAAGUAAUGACACUCUAUACCAGUGUUUAAUUUAACCUCACCAGGUGCUUAGUAAAUGAACAAUUUAGACUCGUAUCAAUAAUCUCAUAUAAAACGAAACUCGUGUGACUGGUGGUAUUAUUCCUGUGCAAUAUGAAGAUUGUUUUGUUGUACUGUUAUCACAGACAGAUUACUGUAAUAUUUUGUAAUAUUGAUGACAAUUCAAAUGUAAAUAUUGUUAUCUGUUAACAAUAGGUGCUUGUCUGUUGACCAAUUAAUAAGCUGGUAUGUUGGUGUUCAUGGUUUCAUUGGAAAGGAGAAUUUGGUCAGAAUUGAGAUAUAUAUAUAUAUAGCUGGGGUAGCUAGUCAUUUUCAUUACAGUUUUCCACACUGUGAAAGGUUUUCACAGUUAUGAACAAACUGCGGAGUUGUUAAUUUUAAAAUUGUAUUUGUUCAUGGUUUUUAAUCAAUGAAAAUGUAAUCAAUGCAAAUUACACAUGUUUUACAUAUAAGAAAAUUUCUUAGAUAGUUCUGAUGCUAAGUUUCUCCAUUUUACAGCUGGGAUCAAGACCAAACAAAAAGGAAACGUGACAUUAGCAUGUAUAUUAAUAGACUAACUUUGUAUAUAAUGUUAUAGUUUUAAGCAUUUUUAAACCUUAUCCUUUUGUACAGAGAUCGAGAUUUUAGCUAUCUAUCAAAAUCAAAUGAUGAGAUGGUUGAAUGUGUUUUUACACUGCCUGAUUAUUCUAACACCUUAUGUGAUUGUGUUUCAAGUAUUUCCAUGCUUUGAAAUUAAAUAAGCCCACCUGUGUUUAUUGCAUUUACCAGAUGUAGUGAAACUGUGAAUAUUUCAUUGUCCUGCAAUGACCUUGUCCCUUACUUUUGAUUCAAAUGUAAUGUGUAAUGCUUUCACAUGUAUUCAAAGGACCACAGAUUAUCUCCAAGAAAAUGUUCUCUUUCAUUAAGUAUUUAAUUAGGUAUACAUAGUGAAACAUGGAAAUUAUCUCCAUGAAAAUUCUCUCGUUUAAUUAGGUAUUCGAAGUGAAAUGUAGAGAUUAUCUCCAUGAAAAUUAUCUCUUUAAUUAGGUAUACAUAGUGAAAGGCAGAGAUUAUCUUCAUGAACAUUUUCUCUCAAGGUAUACCUAGUGAAAUGUAGAGAUUAUCUCUAUGAAAAUUAUCUCUUCAUUUAGGUAUACAUAGUGAAAGGCAGGGAUUAUCUUCAUGAAAAUUCUCUCUCAAGGUAUACCUAGUGAAAUGUAGAGAUUAUCUCCGUCAAAAUUAUCUCUUCAUUUAGGUAUACAUAGUGAAAUGUAGAGAUUAUCGUCAUGAAAAUUUUCUCUCAAGGUAUACCUAGUGAAAUGUAGAGAUUAUCUCCGUCAAAAUUAUCUCUUCAUUUAGGUAUACAUAGUGAAAUGUAGAGAUUAUCGUCAUGAAAAUUUUCUCUCAAGGUAUACCUAGUGAAAUGUAGAGAUUAUCUCCGUCAAAAUUCUCUCUUCAUUUAGGUAUACAUAGUGAAAGGCAGGGAUUAUCUUCAUGAAAAUUCUCUCUCAAAGUAUACAUGUAUAUAGUGAAUUGUAGAGAUUAUCUCCGUCAAAAUUAUCUCUUCAUUUAGGUAUACAUAGUGAAAUGUAGAGAUUAUCGUCAUGAAAAUUUUCUCUCAAGGUAUACCUAGUGAAAUGUAGAGAUUAUCUCCGUCAAAAUUAUCUCUUCAUUUAGGUAUACAUAGUGAAAUGUAGAGAUUAUCGUGAUGAAAAUUUUCUCUCAAGGUAUACCUAGUGAAAUGUAGAGAUUAUCUCCGUCAAAAUUAUCUCUUCAUUUAGGUAUACAUAGUGAAAGGCAGGGAUUAUCUUCAUGAAAAUUCUCUCUCAAAGUAUACAUGUAUAUAGUGAAUUGUAGAGAUUAUCUCCGUCAAAAUUAUCUCUUCAUUUAGGUAUACAUAGUGAAAUGUAGAGAUUAUCGUCAUGAAAAUUUUCUCUCAAGGUAUACCUAGUGAAAUGUAGAGAUUAUCUCUAUGAAAAUUAUCUCUUCAUUUAGGUAUACAUAGUGAAAGGCAGGGAUUAUCUUCAUGAAAAUUCUCUCUCAAAGUAUACAUGUAUAUAGUGAAUUGUAGAGAUUAUCUCCGUCAAAAUUAUCUCUUCAUUUAGGUAUACAUAGUGAAAUGUAGAGAUUAUCGUCAUGAAAAUUUUCUCUCAAGGUAUACCUAGUGAAAUGUAGAGAUUAUCUCCGUCAAAAUUAUCUCUUCAUUUAGGUAUACAUAGUGAAAUGUAGAGAUUAUCGUCAUGAAAAUUUUCUCUCAAGGUAUACCUAGUGAAAUGUAGAGAUUAUCUCCGUCAAAAUUAUCUCUUCAUUUAGGUAUACAUAGUGAAAUGUAGAGAUUAUCGUCAUGAACAUUCCCUGAAGGUAUACAUGGUGAAAUGUAGAGAUUAUCUUCAUGAAAAUUCUCUCUCAAGGUAUACAUGUAUAUAGUUAAUUGUAGAGAUUAUCUUCACGAAAAUUCUCUCUUAAGGUAUCCAUAGUGAAUUGUAGAGAUUAUCUCUAUGAAAAUUUUCUCUAAAGGUAUAAUUGUACAUAGUGAAUUAUAGAGAUUAUCUCCAUGAAAAUUUUCUCUUAAGGUAUACAUAUUGAAAAUUCUCUCUUGGGUAUACGUAUAUAGUGAAAUGUAGAGUACAAUGUAUAUAUCUAUGAAAAUUAAAUAUAACCUGUUAGCAUCGCUACGGAAAUUUAAUUAUAAUUAUUAUAGUAUCUCUAGGAAAAUUUGAUUAAAAUCUGAUUGCUAUCUCUUUAGUAUCUAUGAAAAUCUGAUAAUAUAUAGUAUCACUGUUGUAUUAUAAUAACAUGCUCUAUUGAUACAAAUGGUGGUUGAGUAACAUCUUUGCCUUCAAUUAAAUGCCUUUAGCUUAUCAGAUAAAUGUCCUGUUCUGGAUCCGGACUCCACACUGUUUUUUACUGGUCCCAUUUUAAUCUAUGCGCCAGUAUAUGUAAGGGAAAAUGAAUAAAUGUUCCUGUUGUUUAGCUGUU